CGGAGUGUGGCGUAGUGGUUAAACGUACCUGAUUUGGGAUCAGGUGAUCAUAAGUUCAAAUCUUAUCACUCCGA
rnacentral:tRNA from 1 species